GUAGAAUAUCAAUAUGAACAAAAACAGCUUCCCAUGACCCUCCAAAUGAAGUAUGGUCUGGAUAUGAGUACAAAGUACAGGAAAUCUGAAGAAUAGCAGUGCCUGCUGUUGCUGGAGCUGCUCAGCAGUGCCAUUCAGAAGCUGGACUUUCUAAACCGUUCUUAUCACGUUGGCCAAUUGUGCUCACACUGAUGCCUCACUCACGGUUGCAAGAUUGAACCCCUGAAAAUUUACCUUCAUCUGCAAGCAUAUGUACUUCUUCAACUUUAUCAAACUGAAAUUACAACAAUGUUUCUGGUCGACUCACCACACAUCCCGAACAUGGAAGCCUUAACAGUCAAACAGGCAAAUGCUCUCUAGGUUGCAGUGCUACUGAGGCAGGAGAAUAGGGCUUGGAGGUAGGGAACAUAAGGCCGAUGCACGCUGACUUCCUAGAACUAAAUCAAGUGAAAGCCCCUCAGCCAUGACAGGAACGUGAAUAGCUUUGUAACUUCACUUCAUCCUCUCCAUUGAAGUAGACCACACACACCAAGUAACAUCCUCUCCAUUUAUACUUUGUAACUUCAUAUUCAUCCUCUCCAUUUACCUAGAUCACACAAACCAAGUAAUGUCCUCUCCAUUUACAAUAGGGUGCAUUCCAAGUAAAUGACUCUGUGACUUCACUUCAUUCUCUUCAUGUACAUAGAAUGUACGCCAAGUAACCAAUGGGAAACCUCUAGAGUAUUGAAACCCCAGAAAAUUCUGUAAGCAGGGCCCGUGAGCCUCUACACUCAGGCCCACCCCCACAUUGUGGAGUGUACUUUCAUUCUCAAUAAAUCCCUGUAUUUGCUUUCCUUGCUUUGUUUGUGCAUUUUGUCCAAUUCUUUGUUCGAGAUGCCAAGAACCUGGACACCUUCUACCAGUAACACUGUUACCAGCCUAGUGCACCUGAGCUUACAAUUAUAACAACAAUACUGGACUAAGCAUUUAGAUACUGUUU